rnacentral:lncRNA from 1 species
UGGCCCUCCUUGCCAUAAUGAUAACAAGUACCUUUGGCAGAGACCUUCUUCACCUUCUUCUUGGAGAUGACAAUCUUAGGGUUCAACUUUUUUUUAGAACCCUUCUUCGCCUUCUUCUUGCUGAUCUUAUCAACAUGAAGAAUCUGAACCUUUUUAUCCUUAAAAUGGCUCUCUGCUAUUUUUAAUAUAUUCAGCAGCUUAGGCAAACUGAUGUUCAGUUUGUUCAUAUGGUAAUUAAUGACAAACUGAGAAAAAGAGUCAGGAAGAGACUGCAGAAUCAAAUCUUGGCUCAGUUCACCAUUCAUGGCAAAAUCCAACUGUCCC